rnacentral:rRNA from 1 species
CAUGGCUGAGUAGCUAAGUUCGGAAAGGAUAAACGCUGAAAGCAUAUAAGCGUGAAGCCUAUUUUAAGAAUAGAUAUCGUUCUCUAAGCAAUUAGAGGGAAGACAUCUUAAAGAUUAUGAGAUUGAUAGGCCAGAUGUGUAAGUCCGGUAACGGAUUUAGCUAACUGGUACUAAUUUGUCGAAAAGCUUGAUCAC